AAAGCACUAAAGAAAUACAGAAAAUUGAAACUUAGACUAGAUGAUUUUAUGGAUGAAAUUAGGAAA
rnacentral:lncRNA from 1 species